rnacentral:rRNA from 1 species
GCCUACAGGGCGCAGCAGUAGGGAAUCUUGCGCAAUGGGCGAAAGCCUGACGCAGCGACGCCGCGUGAGUGAUGAAGGCCUUCGGGUUGUAAAGCUCUGUGGAGAGGGACGAAUAAGGCGUGGCUAACAUCCACGUUGAUGACGGUACCUCUUUAGCAAGCACCGGCUAACUCUGUGCCAGCAGCCGCGGUAAGACAGAGGGUGCAAACGUUGUUCGGAAUUACUGGGCGUAAAGCGCGUGUAGGCUGUCUCGAAAGUCGGAUGUGAAAGCCCUGGGCUCAACCUAGGAAGUGCAUUCGAAACUUCGAGACUUGAGUCCUGGAGAGGAUCGCGGAAUUCUCGGUGUAGAGGUGAAAUUCGUAGAUAUCGAGAGGAACACCGGUGGCGAAGGCGGCGAUCUGGACAGUGACUGACGCUGAGACGCGAAAGCGUGGGGAGCAAACAGGAUUAGAUACCCGCGUAC